rnacentral:snoRNA from 1 species
GUCCUUUUCAAUUUGUAAGUGUGAUGAUUGUGUGUUUACGUUCUUGUGUGAAAUGUCUCCCUCUAAGUCUUGUUAUGACAUCAGUGCCCAUCUGACA